rnacentral:lncRNA from 1 species
AAUCCAAUGUAACAGAAUGUCUUCUACACAAUCUAACAAUAAUACCUGCUUGCAGGGUGAAGUUUUAAGGAUGGGCACUCACAAGAAACUUAAGGUGAAAUGGAGCAGGAACGGACAAGGGCUGACUGUCUCAGCAGUGUGGUCAUCUCAUAUUCCUACUAUGAAAAAAAGGUUUUUUGUCAUCCGAGGAGAGACUGAAACCUCCUGUGGCUGUUUGGAAUAUUAUGAGUCCGAACGGAAGUACAAACUACACCAACCUCCAAAGAAGUAAGUGUAUCACUGUUGAAGAUAUGUAUAUCUACAUUAUAUAUAUAUACAAUAUUUUUACUGAAUCAAUAUAACCUUCUUGGGAAACCUUGUAUAACAUUAAUUGAUGGGGACAGCAGCCCAAAACAAUUUAGAGAUCGUGAUGAAAGUCAGUGAGCGAUUCAAUGGAC